GCCAAAAAAGGAAAAAAAAAAAAAAACGGAAAAAAGGAUCGGGGCCACCCGAGGCAGGGGAGUCACCAGGUCAACCCGGAGCCUGCACCGCGGGCUGGGGCCGGACGGACCCCGCUCCGUCCGGGUCCCCCUGCCCCGGGCUCGGGGCUUCAUUCCCGUCCGGACACCAGGUCAACCCGGAGCCUGCCCCCGCGGGCUGGGGCCGGGCGGACCCCACUGCGCCCGGGUUCCCCUGCCACGGGCU